GACGACCUCAGUUCGGAUUGAAGGCUGAAAUUCGCCUUCAUGAAGUCGGAAUUGCUAGUAAUGGCAGGUCAGCAUACUGCCGUGAAUACGUUCCCGGGCCUUGUACACACCGCCCGUCACACCAUGAGAGUUGGAGAUACCCGAAGCCUAUGAGCUAACUUUUAGAGGCAGUAGUCGAAGGUAGAAUCAAUGAUUGGGGUGAAGUCGUAACAAGGUAGC
rnacentral:rRNA from 1 species